UACGGGGGGGGCAAGCGUUGUUCGGAAUUACUGGGCGUAAAGCGCGCGUAGGCGGCUUUUCAAGUCGGGCGUGAAAGCCCCAGGCUUAACCUGGGAAUUGCGCUUGAUACUGUUGAGCUAGAGUGUGGAAGGGGCUACUGGAAUUCCGUGUGUAGCGGUGAAAUGCGUAGAUAUCGAGAGGAACACCUGCGGCGAAGGCGGGUUGCUGGGCUGACACUGACGCUGAGGCGCGAAAGCUAGGGGAGCGAACGGG
rnacentral:rRNA from 1 species